rnacentral:rRNA from 1 species
UACGGGGGGGGCAAGCGUUGUUCGGAAUUACUGGGCGUAAAGGGUGCGUAGGCGGCUUUCUAAGUUGGAUGUGAAAACUAUGGGCUCAACCCAUAGCCUGCAUCCAAAACUGGAGAGCUUGGAGUUCUGGAGGGGAAAGCGGAAUUCCUGGUGUAGCGGUGAAAUGCGUAGAUAUCAGGAAGAACACCCGUGGCGAAGGCGGCUCUCUGGGACGGUACUGACGCUGAGACGCGAAAGCGUGGGGAGCGAACAGG